GUGAGUAUAGUUGAGGUAGCUGGAAUGAGUAGUGUAGCGGUGAAAUGCAUAGAUAUUACUCAGAACACCGAUUGCGAAGGCAGGUUACCAAGUUAUAACUGACGCUGAGGGACGAAAGCGUGGGGAGCGAACAGGAUUAGAUACCCUGGUAGUCCACGCCGUAAACGAUGCUAACUCGUUUUUGGGCUUUAGGGUUCAGAGACUAAGCGAAAGUGAUAAGUUAGCCACCUGGGGAGUACGACCGCAAGGUUGAAACUCAAAGGAAUUGACGGGGGCCCGCACAAGCGGUGGAUCAUGUGGUUUAAUUCGAUGAUACGCGAGGAACCUUACCAAGGCUUAAAUGGGAAUUGACAGCUGUAGAAAUACGGUUUUCUUCGGACAAUUUUCAAGGUGCUGCAUGGUUGUCGUCAGCUCGUGCCGUGAGGUGUUAGGUUAAGUCCUGCAACGAGCGCAACCCCUGUCACUAGUUGCCAUCAUUAAGUUGGGGACUCUAGUGAGACCGCCUACGCAAGUAGAGAGGAAGGUGGGGAUGACGUCAAAUCAUCACGGCCCUUACGCCUUGGGCCACACACGUGAUACAAUGCCG
rnacentral:rRNA from 1 species